CUGUGUAAAUAAGUGUUCGAAAGAUAUCGUGACCUAACGAUAGAAUGUGUCAGGAAUGAAAUUCUUUAGAUAUAUGUUAUUUUGAAACCUACCUUGAAGCAGUUCUAAUUGAAGAAUGAGUUGUUAGAAAAAUGAAUCAACCAGUACCGAAACGUGACCUACAGGAAGUUUACCUGGAAAGAGAACGAAAAAUGUUAGCUGUUAUAAGGCCCAAAAACUUAGGAAAAUGAUUCGAAUCACUUGCACAGGUCUUGCGGGUACGGAUCCAGUAAUACUGAACAUCCGAUGUAGCCUUUAACAUAUUUUUUUUAUUAACUAGAGAAAAACAUUUAAUUCGAAACAAAAUAGAGAAAAAUUUCUAUAACUGAACAGCAUAAGUUGCCCCGACUGCGAUGCGGACUGAAGAUGUACGAUUGCGGAGUACGAGAGGGAUGCGACUGCUGUCAGAAGGCGUCCAUCUUCAGCUGUUGAUUGGUAGUCGAAUUCUUGGACUGACAAACACAACUUCUGGUUGACUGACAGUCGAAAUAAAAUUAAGAGCAACCUUCCGUGUCUAGAACGUCUGGAAGGGAAGCUCAGUUUUUCUUCGGGAGCUUUUGGAGUCUGAUUAUCCCGUACUGAACCAAACCUGGCAAUAAAAUUUAAAGGGUCAAUCCAGUAUAUUUUAAAGUUCAGUGUGUAAUAGGAGCUACUGAUAAAUUCAGUACAAAUUAUAAGAAAUUUCAAUGAAUCUCAGCAGCUUGUUAAAGCCAGUAUCAAAUAAAAGAAUUUCCUAUAAAUCCUAGCAGUUUUAUGUUAAUAUACAUAUUAAAAGAUAGUUAUUCAUCCAUUCGGUGGUCUUGAGGUUCGUUAUUUUUCAGUUUUAGUGUUACUUAAUUGGUAAGUUAUAAGUUUUGAAGUACAAAAAUGAAUAUAAUGUUUUGAAUUUUAUGUUUUAGGAAGAGAUACUUCUUCUGUUGGACAGAAACAUCAACAAUGUUGUCAUCAUACGUGGACACCCUGCUCUGUUGAAGAAUCCACUGGCCUUUCUAAAGCACUGGGUUGGAAAAAUCCGUUUAACAUGAAGAACAGUAGAUUUCUUAGGAUGGAACUACGAUUUACUAACGAUAAGUUUUUAAAUACAAACUUGUGCCUUUUUGUAUAAAAGAAUAUUACGAUUUCAGGCAUCCAAUCAAUCGUCAAAUGUGCUUUCGAUUUACAAGGAAAAACGCUAUAUGGUGCUGGAUACAAUUCCUCAGGGUUCACCGGAAUGGUGCUUUCUAUGCCCGAAAAAAAAGUGCAGCCUGGUUAUUAUUUUUCAGAGAAAAAGAUUCUUCCGAGGAGCGGUCUCCAAAGUUUUGUCGAGCAAUCAGAAGUUUUCAGCCCAAACGAGUAUCAGAACUUCCGCCGCUUGAAUCGGAAUCAGAUUCUGACGAUGAUAAUAACUAGAAUUCUGCAAUUUUGAACGAUUCCUUUUUACUGACCUCAUCGAAAACUAUUGAAGAAGUCAGCAGCUAGUCAAUGCACAGAAAUCGAUAACGACGACCAAACCCACGAAAGGUAAAGAGAACGAAGCUGAAUGACCAGCUUGGAAAAAAAAACUCGAUGACGCCGGCACCAGAAAAGCGAUUACCAUCGGAACCGCGAGCUCCAAAAUCGAACGAAGUAGCUGGAAACAGUAAAGAAUCUCCCCCAACGGUGAUUCCGGAAUCCAAUAU